rnacentral:rRNA from 1 species
GACGAACGCUGGCGGCGUGCUUAACACAUGCAAGUCGAGCGGAAAGGCCCUUCGGGUACUCGAGCGGCGAACGGGUGAGUAACACGUGAGUAAUCUGCCUCUAGCUCUGGGAUAGCUCCGGGAAACCGGGAUUAAUACCGGAUACGACCACUCAAGACAUCUUCUGUGGUGGAAAGAAUUUCGGCUAGAGAUGAGCUCGCGGCCUAUCAGCUUGUUGGUGGGAACGGCCACCAAGGCGACGACGGUAGCCGGCCUGAGAGGGCGACCGGCCACACUGGGACUGAGACACGGCCCA